rnacentral:rRNA from 1 species
UGGGGAAUUUUGGACAAUGGGCGAAAGCCUGAUCCAGCGACGCCGCGUGUGCGAUGAAGGCCUUUGGGUCGUAAAGCACUGUCAACCGGGACGAAAACUCGACGGUGAUAACCCGUCGAGCUUGACGGUACCGGUGGAGGAAGCACCGGCUAACUCUGUGCCAGCAGCCGCGGUAAUACAGAGGGUGCGAACGUUGCUCGGAAUUACUGGGCGUAAAGCGCGUGUAGGCGGUCUGCUAAGUCCCCUGUGAAAGCCCAUGGCUCAACCACGGAAGCGCAGUGGAUACUGGCAGACUCGAGUCCUGGAGAGGGUGGCGGAAUUCCCAGUGUAGAGGUGAAAUUCGUAGAUAUUGGGAGGAACACCGGUGGCGAAGGCGGCCACCUGGACAGGUACUGACGCUGAGACGCGAAAGCGUGGGGAGCAAACAGG